UACGGGGCGCUGCAGGCGCGAAACCUCUGCAAUAGGCGAAAGCCUGACAGGGUUACUCUGAGUGAUUUCCGUUAAGGAGAUCUUUUGGCACCUCUAAAAAUGGUGCAGAAUAAGGGGUGGGCAAGUCUGGUGGCAGCCGCCGCGGUAAUACCAGCACCCCGAGUGGUCGGGACGAUUAUUGGGCCUAAAGCAUCCGUAGCCGGUUCUGCAAGUCCCCCGUUAAAUCCAGCUGCUCAACAGAUGGGCCGCGGAGGAUACUCCAGAGCUAGGAGGCAGGAGAGGCAAGCGGUACUCAGUGGGUAGGGGUAAAAUCCGUUGAUCCAUUGAAGACCACCAGUGGCGAAGGCGGCUUGCCAGAAUGCGCUCGACGGUGAGGGAUGAAAGCUGGGGGAGCAAACCGGAUUAGAUACCCGGGUAGUCCCAGCCGUAAACGAUGCAGACUCGGUGAUGGGUUGGCUUCGCGCUAACCCAGUGCCGCAGGGAAGCCGUUAAGUCUGCCGCCUGGGUAGUACGGUCGCAAGACAAUCG
rnacentral:rRNA from 1 species